rnacentral:rRNA from 1 species
CGAGAAGGUGCCUUCGGGUGCUGGACAGUGGCGCACGGGUGAGUAACGCGUGGGAACCUGCCCUGAGGUACGGGAUAACGGCUGGAAACGGCCGCUAAUACCGUAUGUCCCCUGCGGGGGAAAGAUUUAUCGCCUUGGGAGGGGCCCGCGUCCGAUUAGCUAGUUGGUGAGGUAAUGGCUCACCAAGGCGACGAUCGGUAGCUGGUCUGAGAGGAUGAUCAGCCACACUGGGACUGAGACACGGCCCAGACUCCUACGGGAGGCAGCAGUGGGGAAUAUUGGACAAUGGGGGCAACCCUGAUCCAGCAAUGCCGCGUGUGUGAUGAAGGCCUUAGGGUUGUAAAGCACUUUCACUGGUGAAGAUGAUGACGGUAGCCAGAGAAGAAGCCCCGGCUAACUCCGUGCCAGCAGCCGCGGUAAUACGGAGGGGGCAAGCGUUGUUCGGAAUUACUGGGCGUAAAGCGCGCGUAGGCGGCUUUGCAAGUAGGGGGUGAAAUCCCGGGGCUUAACCCCGGAACUGCCCUCUAAACUGCAGAGCUAGAAUCCUGGAGAGGUGAGUGGAAUUCCUAGUGUAGAGGUGAAAUUCGUAGAUAUUAGGAAGAACACCAGUGGCGA